rnacentral:rRNA from 1 species
UGAGGAAUAUUGCGCAAUGGACGAAAGUCUGACGCAGCCAUGCCGCGUGCAGGAUGACGGCCCUAUGGGUUGUAAAGUUCUUUUGUCUGGGAGCAAAAGUUGCGUAUGAAUAGUAUGUAAUGAUGAGAGUACCAGAAGAAUAAGCACCGGCUAACUACGUGCCAGCAGCCGCGGUAAUACGUAGGGUGCGAGCGUUAAUCGGAAUUGCUGGGCGUAAAGGGUGCGUAGGCUGAAAUACAAGUUAGAUGUGAAAUACCCGAGCUUAACUUGGGAGGUGCAUAUAAUACUGUAUAUCUAGAGUUAGUGAGAGGAUGGGGGAAUUCCGAGUGUAGCAGUGAAAUGCGCAGAGAUUCGGAGGAACAUCGGUGGCGAAGGCGAAUCUCUGGGCAUUACCUGACGCUCAUGCACGAAGGCCAGGGGAGCAAACGGG